UACGGAGGAGGCAAGCGUUAUCCGGAAUUAUUGGGCGUAAAGCGUCCGUAGGUGGUUUAGUAAGUCUGCUGUUAAAGCGCGGGGCUUAACUCCGUAUCGGCAGUGGAAACUACUAGACUAGAGUGUGGUAGGGGUAGAGGGAAUUCCCAGUGUAGCGGUGAAAUGCGUAGAUAUUGGGAAGAACACCGGUGGCGAAGGCGCUCUACUGGGCCAUAACUGACACUGAGGUGCGAAAGCUAGGGGAGCGAACAGG
rnacentral:rRNA from 1 species